GGCGCAGGUUCCCCCCCCCCCGGGGCCGUGUCCCUCCGCCGCUCCCCGGGGGGGGGGGGGGCCGCCCGCGCGCUCCCGCCGCGGGGCCGCGCCCGGCGCCAUCAGCCCCGUCCGGGCGCCCGACGGUCUCAUAUGUCUUCUCUACCACAAACUGCACUGCUCAUCUUGUUGAAGCCCCAUGUGACUGAUCCUGCCAUCUUCAGAGCUGAAAUGACCUUCUGCCUUCACAGGUGGCCUAGAAGGGAUCCAGAGGACAAGAUGCCUUCAGCACAUUGAUGGAAGAUGUUACCAUGCAAAGGGUGGUGAACUGAGCACUGAUGGUCUGGCUUUUCAAAAGGAAAAGCAGCCCUGUGGCAGGACUUUCACCCUGGUGUGUCUGCAGUGCUGGGAGGAGGCUGAGAAUGCAGCUGAGGCUGUACCUUGUGCUUAUCUGAGAGACUUCCCCAAAGGUCACCAGAUAGAAAUUGUUUGUCAGAAAAAACAGGUUAACAGUGUUGUAAUCAAGGGUGUGUGAGUAAAUAUACUCCAAAGUGAAUCACAGAAUCCCAGACUGGUUUGGGUUGGAAGGGACCUCAAAGAUCAUCCAGUUCCAACCCCCUGCAUGGGCAGGGACACCUCCCAGCAGCCCAGGCUGCUCCAAGCCCCAUCCAACCUGCCCUUCAACACUGCCAGGGAUGGGGCAGCCACAGCUUCCCUGGGCAGCCUGGGCCAGGGUCUCACCACCCUCACAGGGAAGAAUUUCUUCCUCAUGUCCCACCUCAAUCUCCCUCUUCCAGUUUUCAUCCAUCCCCCUUGUCCCAUCCCUCCCUGCCCUUGUCCCAAGCCCCUCCCCAGCUUUCCUGGAGCCCCUUCAGGCACUGGAAGGUGCUCUAAGGUCUCCCUGGAGCCUUCUCUUCUCCAGGCUGAACACCCCAACUCUCCCAGCCUGCCUCCAGAGCAGAGCUGCUCCAGCCCUUGGAUCAUCUUGUGGCCUCCUCUGGCCUCUCUCCAGGAGCUCCAUGUACUCCUUGUGUUGGGGGCUCCAGAACUGGACACAGUGCUCCAGGUGGGGUCUCCCAAGACCUAAUGUGCAGUCAAUUACUUCACUUUUUACUGUGCCCUAAAAAUGAUGUCUUCACACACCCCACAUUAACAAGCCCUGGGUUUUUUUUUUGGCUUUGCUUUGCAGCUUUUUCCUCACAGAGGGGUUGUGGACAUGAAGACUCACCAAGCACCACGUUCAUAUUCAGAGUGUAUUAAUUUAUGUAGCACUUUAAAUGCUGUGUAAGUUCAAACUCAAAUGAAAGCCACUAUCAAAAGAUUUAUAAAGAGCUUGUACAUUAUGACCUGGGGAGAAAGAAAAAUAGCUCAUCCUUUAAGAAAAUGGAAAACCUUAACUCAGAAUGUCCUGUUAUUUACUCCUGUAUUCAUAUUGCACAAUAAAAUACUUCAAUUAAAGUGUA